rnacentral:tRNA from 1 species
GCCUGGGUGGCUCAGUCGGUUGAGCGUCUGACUUCAGCUCAGGUCAUGAUCCUGCGGUUUGUGAGUUCGAGCCCCGCAUCAGGCA